rnacentral:rRNA from 1 species
GCGUCAGUCGCAAGAUGAAGCGUUGAAUUGAAGCCCGAGUAAACGGCGGCCGUAACUAUAACGGUCCUAAGGUAGCGAAAUUCCUUGUCGGUUAAAUACCGACCUGCAUGAAUGGCGUAACGAGAUGGGAGCUGCCUCAACCAGAGAUUCAGUGAAAUUGCAGUGGAGGUGAAAAUUCCUCCUACCCGCGGCAAGACGGAAAGGCCCCGUGGACCCUUACUACAACUUAGCACUG